GAUGAACGCUGGCGGCGUGCUUAACACAUGCAAGUCGAACGGGAAAUAUUUCAUUGAGACUUCGGUGGAUUUGAUUUAUUUCUAGUGGCGGACGGGUGAGUAACGCGUGGGUAACCUGCCUUAUACAGGGGGAUAACAGUCAGAAAUGGCUGCUAAUACCGCAUAAGCGCACAGAGCUGCAUGGCUCAGUGUGAAAAACUCCGGUGGUAUAAGAUGGACCCGCGUUGGAUUAGCUAGUUGGUGGGGUAACGGCCCACCAAGGCGACGAUCCAUAGCCGGCCUGAGAGGGUGAACGGCCACAUUGGGACUGAGACACGGCCCAGACUCCUACGGGAGGCAGCAGUGGGGAAUAUUGCACAAUGGGGGAAACCCUGAUGCAGCGAUGCCGCGUGAAGGAAGAAGUAUCUCGGUAUGUAAACUUCUAUCAGCAGGGAAGAUAGUGACGGUACCUGACGAAGAAGCCCCGGCUAACUACGUG
rnacentral:rRNA from 1 species